rnacentral:rRNA from 1 species
UACGUAGGGUGCAAGCGUUAAUCGGAAUACUGGGCGUAAAGCGUGCGCAGGCGGUUUCGUAAGUCUGUCGUGAAAUCCCCGGGCUUAACCUGGGAACUGCGUUUGAAACUACAAGGCUAGAGUGUGGCAGAGGGGGGUGGAAUUCCACGUGUAGCAGUGAAAUGCGUAGAGAUGUGGAGGAACACCGAUGGCGAAGGCAGCCCCCUGGGUUAACACUGACGCUCAGGCACGAAAGCGUGGGGAGCAAACAGG